ACUUAAAUUGAAGAGUUUGAUCAUGGCUCAGAUUGAACGCUGGCGGCAGGCCUAACACAUGCAAGUCGAGCGGUAGCACAGAGAGCUUGCUCUCGGGUGACGAGCGGCGGACGGGUGAGUAAUGUCUGGGAAACUGCCUGAUGGAGGGGGAUAACUACUGGAAACGGUAGCUAAUACCGCAUAACGUCGCAAGACCAAAGUGGGGGACCUUCGGGCCUCAUGCCAUCAGAUGUGCCCAGAUGGGAUUAGCUAGUAGGUGGGGUAAUGGCUCACCUAGGCGACGAUCCCUAGCUGGUCUGAGAGGAUGACCAGCCACACUGGAACUGAGACACGGUCCAGACUCCUACGGGAGGCAGCAGUGGGGAAUAUUGCACAAUGGGCGCAAGCCUGAUGCAGCCAUGCCGCGUGUAUGAAGAAGGCCUUCGGGUUGUAAAGUACUUUCAGCGAGGAGGAAGGCGUUAAGGUUAAUAACCUUGGCGAUUGACGUUACUCGCAGAAGAAGCACCGGCUAACUCCGUGCCAGCAGCCGCGGUAAUACGGAGGGUGCAAGCGUUAAUCGGAAUUACUGGGCGUAAAGCGCACGCAGGCGGUCUGUCAAGUCGGAUGUGAAAUCCCCGGGCUCAACCUGGGAACUGCAUUCGAAACUGGCAGGCUAGAGUCUUGUAGAGGGGGGUAGAAUUCCAGGUGUAGCGGUGAAAUGCGUAGAGAUCUGGAGGAAUACCGGUGGCGAAGGCGGCCCCCUGGACAAAGACUGACGCUCAGGUGCGAAAGCGUGGGGAGCAAACAGGAUUAGAUACCCUGGUAGUCCACGCCGUAAACGAUGUCGACUUGGAGGUUGUGCCCUUGAGGCGUGGCUUCCGGAGCUAACGCGUUAAGUCGACCGCCUGGGGAGUACGGCCGCAAGGUUAAAACUCAAAUGAAUUGACGGGGGCCCGCACAAGCGGUGGAGCAUGUGGUUUAAUUCGAUGCAACGCGAAGAACCUUACCUACUCUUGACAUCCAGAGAACUUAGCAGAGAUGCUUCGGUGCCUUCGGGAACUCUGAGACAGGUGCUGCAUGGCUGUCGUCAGCUCGUGUUGUGAAAUGUUGGGUUAAGUCCCGCAACGAGCGCAACCCUUAUCCUUUGUUGCCAGCGAUUCGGUCGGGAACUCAAAGGAGACUGCCAGUGAUAAACUGGAGGAAGGUGGGGAUGACGUCAAGUCAUCAUGGCCCUUACGAGUAGGGCUACACACGUGCUACAAUGGCAUAUACAAAGAGAAGCGACCUCGCGAGAGCAAGCGGACCUCAUAAAGUAUGUCGUAGUCCGGAUUGGAGUCUGCAACUCGACUCCAUGAAGUCGGAAUCGCUAGUAAUCGUAGAUCAGAAUGCUACGGUGAAUACGUUCCCGGGCCUUGUACACACCGCCCGUCACACCAUGGGAGUGGGUUGCAAAAGAAGUAGGUAGCUUAACCUUCGGGAGGGCGCUUACCACUUUGUGAUUCAUGACUGGGGUGAAGUCGUAACAAGGUAACCGUAGGGGAACCUGCGGUUGGAUCACCUCCUUACCUUAAAGAA
rnacentral:rRNA from 1 species